ACUACUUUCGGUGGGUUUGUUUGGGUUUAGAUUCGUGUGAGUGUGAGAUAUUUGGGUUUCGUUAAACUCUCUCUCUCUUUCUCUCUCUAUUGAAUCAAGAGAGAGAAAAACGUUUAUGGCGGUUUUGUGAAGAUGACGAUGAUUCUCUCACUUCGCGGUCUCUAAUUCGCUUGGUGCAGGUCGGGAACCACUUCUUCGACAGUUUUCGUGCGGAAAUGACGGAACGGUCACCCGCGGAGAAUUGGAUCCCGCCUUGCAUCAACUGAAUCGGAGGCAGCGGUGAAUAUUUCUGUUCUUUUCCGGCGGAUUUAGAUCAGAUCUCUGCUCCGAGUUUCCACAAUCAGAUGUGAUGUUGGUAUAUAUAUGCAGGACGCAAUUCUUUCCUUCAAAGAGUAGUCUAUCAUAGUAUAAGUCAUACUAGUAUAUUUCUUGAAUUUCUUCAAUGUAUUAGUAUAUUUCUUAACUUUUUCAAUAUGUUCUAUAAGCAUAAUGCUUUUUGUUUCCUUUUUGAUAGAUGCAAACAGCUUGGCAGCUUGACAUUUUGACAGUAAAUGCAUAGUAAGCAGUUUAUUUGAGUACAAUAAGCUGUCGUCCUCUGCCCGUCUAAAUUUGUGAGAGGAAUUUAAGCACAUGUGAUGCCGGACAAUUGUGUGUAUAAGUAAAGAAAAAAAAUGGUUUACUCUUAUUUUGAGGGAAAAUGAGUGAUUUACUCAACUAACAAAACUCCCAAGUUGUCUGACCAAUUUAGGAUUGAUAUUUUCUCGUGUUUGGUUUAUUCUGAAAUUGGCUAAUCUGAGAUAUUGAUAUCGACUCUAUAUUUUCCAAAGUUUCAACAGGCCAAUUAUUUUUUCUUCUAUUCAUGAGAACAUUUUUCUUAGUGAAAAGAACUUGAAUUCUCUGGCAAAUUUUUAUAUUGUAAUGAACUUUGUUUUUCACCCUAUUUCCUCUCAUGAUUAUUAUGGCAAUUUUUGGGCAAAAUCAGUGUAAUUCAGUAUCUGUUUUAGGGUUCACCUGCAAAAGGAAAUAUUUUGUUAUCUUCAAUAACCCAUCAAUGUCAAAGUAUCUGCUUUGAAUUUUAGUUAUAUGGAAAGAACACUGAACUAGAUUCAGACAUGCAGGUUAAAACUUAACUGUUAGACAACCUGACCCACCUUUGCACCUUCAUUUCAAUGCACUGUUGCUGAACUCACUCUGUAUUUGUUGUGUACUGAUUUAUCUUAGUGUGUUAAUUUUCCUGUAACAGGUUUGGGAUUUAUCACUGAUCAAAUGAAUUGAUAAGCAACAACAAGUCCUUUAUUUUCUGAUGAAAUUAUUGACUUUAUCUCGUGAAAUCAUUUUGUAAAAUAAAAGCAAACAUUGAAAGGAGGGUGGAGAGAAAUAUACAUCUAAGCUUGAGAUUGGACACUUUCAUAUGCAAUCUGUGUCCUCAACUGUCCUUAUCCAGGGCAUAUAACCUAUUGUUGAGUACUUCUAGUUCUCUGCAAGAGAUGUUUUUAGAUUCCAUUUUGUAUAUUGUAAUGUAAUGCCAAAUUACCAACCUUGUAAUUUAUUUGCUAAGCAUGUUGAUGUUGUACACAUGUUGGUUAAGAAUCUGAAAUGAGUUAUUCUACUUCUUCAUAAGGGAACUGUCAUCAAAAUAGGCAAGAACUGUGAAAGAGCAGCAGGUACCUUGUUUUAGAAAAGUUCCAGAUGUCAACCUGCCCCACGGAACUGGAUCUCCUACAGUUAAAGAGAGUGCAUUCGGGGGCGGUAUAUAAUCUAAAGUUUUUAUUUUUAUCUGAAUGGUUAAAAGUUUCUAAGUUUUUAUUUA